GGAAAAUUCUCAACGCUGCUGCAGUUUCUAAGUUGCCGGGGAGCCAAGUCACAGGUAGGCCUUCAGCAGAAGGUAUGACUUCAAGAUCUGGAUUAAAGGCAUGUGACUUCCAGUCUCAAGAUCUGGCUCACAGGUUGAAGAAAUCAUCCCCAUGAGCAUCACACACAGAGCAGAGCGCCAUCUU